UUAGGUGUCUCUAAAAAUUAUUUUUUAAUAUUCCAUGCACACAUCACAUGAACAAACAAGUAAAGCAUAUAAUAAAUAAGCAGUCACUUAAAUGUCAAUGAUUAUGAAACGAUAUUUUUAAUUUUAUUGAACAUUCUACAAUGUUCGUAAAAAAUAAUCACUCCUGUAGGAAUAAAUGGAAAAAAUGGUAAUUUUUUUAUUUAUUAAGUUGCAUCAUUUUUUUCUAUCUCUGGCAACUCUUUAAAGUGUUCUGUCAGUGUCUGUGUCAGCCAUAUUUCGGACAGAGACUACGGUGCCGAGAAAAAUAAAGUUUAAACGGCGUUCUACAUAGUUGUCAAAGUUGAUACUUCACAACUGUACUCAACUAACCAACGCAAGUAUGGCGGGUAAAAAGAGGUCUGAGAGAGAGAAAAAAGAACGAUUAAAGGAGCAAAAGAGGACAUGGAUACGAAAGAAGAGAAAAAAUGACUGAGGCUGAACUAGAAGAAAGACGUCAAAAAGAUAGAGAGAGAUAUAAAAAAAAGAAGGAAGCUGGAAAAAUAAAAUCAAUAAAAGAUUAUACACCAAGAAUGCAAAAAACAAUCCGAAAAAGUUGGCGUGAGCGUGCAAAAACUCAUCGCAAUAAAUUGAAACUACUGAAAGCUACUGAGCAAAGACUUAUAAAUGAUGAGACUCCUCCCCCAAGUCCGACUUCACAAAGUUCUACACCAUCUAGUAGGGCUUCCUUAGGCAGAAGACUUGCUGAAAGAAAUAGGCGAAGGCUUAAAAUAGAAAACAAGCAUCUAAAACAGCGAAUUUUGCAUUUAGAAAAUUUAUUGGCUAAUAAAAGAAUGCAAUUAUUACGUACAAGACAACCUCGUAAUAUAAUAAAUGAUGGACUACCAGAAACAAUUGUGAUGGGACGUAAACGAAAACAAAUAGAAAAUAAGGAAGCUGUUCGCAAGUUUUUGGAAAAAGAUGAAUGUAGUCGAAUCACGUCUGGAAAAAAAGAGACUAUUACGAAAAAUAAACAAAAGAAGCAAAUUCGAUUUCUAAAUGAUACAAUGCUUAAUUUGUAUGAAAAGUUUAAGGAGGAAACUAAAAUUAAAAUGUCCUAUGCUC